GGCCGGCUGGCGUAAUGGCUAACGCAUCCGUUUCCGGUUCACCGGAUUCACGUCCGACUUUCCAGUCUGCGGAAGAUUGCAGGUUCGAGUCCUGCGUCGGUCG
rfam:Blastomyces dermatitidis ER-3 genomic scaffold supercont1.6, whole genome shotgun sequence.